UGACAUGUUCCCAAUCAAGGAUUUGGCAGCAAUAGGAUAUUCAAUACACAAAGCAUUAUAAUCAACAUCAGGGACAACAAGUUCUCUCAGAGUUCUUUGGUCAGCCAUGUUAAACUUAAUAGACCCAAUCAAGGAUUUGGCAGCAAUAGGAUAUUCAAUACACAAAGCAUUAUAAUCAACAUCAGGGACAACAAGUUCUCUCAGAGUUCUUUGGUCAGCCAUGUUAAACUUAAUAGAAAAGAAAAAAAAAAUCAACAAAUAAUUUGAAAACACAACUAACUCAGCAAUGCAACAACAAAUAGCAAAAUACUGACAAUGUCCCUAUUAAGUAAAAACAAUUGAAAUACG
rnacentral:lncRNA from 1 species